GUUAUUGUAAAAAAAGGAGAGAAGGACA
rnacentral:piRNA from 1 species